GUUGGUGUAUUGCAUAGUUUUGGCAAUUGGAUUUCACUCAAAAUUCACCAAAUGACUCCGGCCACAACAUUAUGAUGUUCGCCAAGUUUUGGACUCAAUUCGAUAUCGAUUGUUCCAUGAAAUUGGACAAUUCUGGUUCGUACAAAGUUCGUUCUGAAAUGGAGUGGUUGGUGUACUGUAUAGUUUUAGCCAUUGGAUUUCACUCAAAACUCAC
rnacentral:lncRNA from 1 species